GGGAGGCAGCAGUAGGGAAUCUUCCGCAAUGGACGAAAGUCUGACGGAGCAACGCCGCGUGAGUGAUGAAGGUUUUCGGAUCGUAAAGCUCUGUUGUUAGGGAAGAACAAGUACCGUUCGAAUAGGGCGGUACCUUGACGGUACCUAACCAGAAAGCCACGGCUAACUACGUGCCAGCAGCCGCGGUAAUACGUAGGUGGCAAGCGUUGUCCGGAAUUAUUGGGCGUAAAGGGCUCGCAGGCGGUUUCUUAAGUCUGAUGUGAAAGCCCCCGGCUCAACCGGGGAGGGUCAUUGGAAACUGGGGAACUUGAGUGCAGAAGAGGAGAGUGGAAUUCCACGUGUAGCGGUGAAAUGCGUAGAGAUGUGGAGGA
rnacentral:rRNA from 1 species